rnacentral:lncRNA from 1 species
AGGUUUUUCCUGUACAUUAGCAGGUGCAGUACAAGCUUUCAUCUGUCUGACACGACGUAACUGUAUCGUCAGUGUUGUCUUAUACAUUAAAGUGGAACAAGUACGCUCAAAACCACUUAACAGGAAGUCCUUCAGCGCAGAGUAACUGAGUCUGUUUUUACCAGCCCCUCUUUCCUUCAGUGCUUCCUGAUUAAAAACAUGCAUUACGUUAUCGAAACAGAAAGUAUAUUUCUGUUACGUCGCCAUUUUGAGCGAAGCAGGGCAGAUGCAGUCGGGUACAAGUAAGGGAAUAAACUUACUCCUGCAUUAAAAACACACUGAAGUGUGGUAAUUGCGGAAGGUGGCAGGGGGAGAGAGCAAAAUGGUGGAGAGCGGAAGCGCUGAUUGUGGUGGAUAAGAUUGC